rnacentral:rRNA from 1 species
GACGAACGCUGGCGGCGUGCUUAACACAUGCAAGUCGAACGGAAAGGCCCUGCUUGCAGGGUACUCGAGUGGCGAACGGGCGAGUAACACGUGGGUGAUCUGCCCUGCACUUCGGGAUAAGCCUGGGAAACUGGGUCUAAUACCGGAUAGGAGCCAUUUUUAGUGUGAUGGUUGGAAAGUUUUUUCGGUGUAGGAUGAGCUCGCGGCCUAUCAGCUUGUUGGUGGGGUAAUGGCCUACCAAGGCGGCGACGGGUAGCCGGCCUGAGAGGGUGGACGGCCACAUGGGGACUGAGAUACGGCCCAGACUCCUACGGGAGGCAGCAGUGGGGAAUAUUGCACAAUGGGCGCAAGCCUGAUGCAGCGACGCCGCGUGGGGGAUGACGGCCUUCGGGUUGUAAACUCCUUUCGCUAGGGACGAAGCUUUUGUGACGGUACCUAGAUAAGAAGCACCGGCUAACUACGUG